rnacentral:rRNA from 1 species
AUUGAACGCUGGCGGCAGGCCUAACACAUGCAAGUCGAACGAGUGGCGGACGGGUGAGUAAUGUCUGGGAAAAUGCCUGAUGGAGGGGGAUAACUACUGGAAACGGUAGCUAAUACCGCAUACCAUCAGAUGUGCCCAGAUGGGAUUGGCUAGUUGGUGGGGUAACGGCUCACCAAGGCGACGAUCCCUAGCUGGUCUGAGAGGCUGACCAGCCACACUGGAACGGAGACAAGGUCCAGACUCCUACGGGGGGCAGCAGUGGGGAAUAGUGCACAAGGGGAGCAAGCCUGAGGCAGCCAUGCCGCGUGUAUGAAGAAGGCCUUCGGGUUGUAAAGUACUUUCAGCGGGGAAGCGGUACCCGCAGAAGAAGCACCGGCUAACUCCGUGCCAGCAGCGGCGGUAAUAC